GACGUAGGGGGCCAGCGUUGUUCGGAAUUACUGGGUGUAAAGGGUUCGUAGGCGGUGCGGCAAGUUGGGAGUGAAAUCUCUGGGCUUAACCCAGAGGCUGCUUCCGAAACUGCUGUGCUUGAGUGUGGGAGAGGCGCGUGGAAUUGCAGGUGUAGCGGUGAAAUGCGUAGAUAUCUGCAGGAACACCCGUGGCGAAAGCGGCGCGCUGGACCACUACUGACGCUGAGGAACGAAAGCGUGGGGAGCGAACAGG
rnacentral:rRNA from 1 species